rnacentral:rRNA from 1 species
CCUACGGGAGGCAGCAGUGGGGAAUUUUGGACAAUGGGGGCAACCCUGAUCCAGCAAUGCCGCGUGAGUGAAGAAGGCCCUCGGGUUGUAAAGCUCUUUUGUCAGGGAAGAAACGGUGGUUCCUAAUACGAGCUGCUAAUGACGGUACCUGAAGAAUAAGCACCGGCUAACUACGUGCCAGCAGCCGCGGUAAUACGUAGGGUGCAAGCGUUAAUCGGAAUUACUGGGCGUAAAGCGUGCGCAGGCGGUUAUAUAAGACAGAGGUGAAAUCCCCGGGCUCAACCUGGGAACUGCCUUUGUGACUGUAUGGCUAGAGUGUGUCAGAGGGGGGUAGAAUUCCACGUGUAGCAGUGAAAUGCGUAGAUAUGUGGAGGAAUACCGAUGGCGAAGGCAGCCCCCUGGGAUAACACUGACGCUCAUGCACGAAAGCGUGGGGAGCAAACAGGAUUAGAUACCCUGGUAGUCCACGCCCUAAACGAUGUCUACUAGUUGUCGGGACUUAAUUGUCUUGGUAACGCAGCUAACGCGUGAAGUAGACCGCCUGGGGAUACGGUCGCAAAGNUUAAAACUCAAAAGGAAUUGACCGGNNGAGAGNGCGAGAGACACGAGGAGAGG